GUAGAGGAGAGGCCGCAGGGGCCGAAGGCCGGCCGUGGGGCCUGAUGGGACGGCAAGGUCGGGUGCUGUCAUGGCUCCU
rnacentral:miRNA from 1 species